rnacentral:rRNA from 1 species
AAAUAGAUUAAAAUAAUUAAGGGCACACAAAGGAUGCCUUGGUAGUAAGAGCCGAUGAAGGACGUGGUAAGCUGCGAUAAGCCUAGAUAAGUUGCAAUCGAACGUAAGAGUCUAGGAUUUCCGAAUGGAGCAAUCUAUUAAGAUGGAGUCUUAAUACGAAAGAGGGAACCGCGUGAACUGAAACAUCUAAGUAACGCGAGGAAAAGAAAGUAAAAACGAUACCCGAAGUAGCGGCGAGCGAAACGGGUCAAGCCUAAACCUUAAAUAUGUCAAGGAUACAGCCGUUGUAUUUAGGGGGUUGAGGGACAGAGUGAUGAAGAACUGUAAGAUAUUCAAUAUAGUGUAUUGAUGAACUAGAAUAGUCUGGAAAGGUUAACCGUAGAAGGUGAAAGUCCUGUAUAGGUAAAUCCUUACACAUAUAACUUUGAUCCCAAGUAACAUGGAACACGAGGAAUUCUGUGUGAAUCAGUGAGGACCAUAUCUCAUAAGGCUAAAUACUCUUACUAACCGAUAGCGCAUAGUACCGUGAGGGAAAGGUGAAAAGAACCCCUGGAGGGGAGUGAAAUAGAACCUGAAAUUGUGUGCUUACAAGCGGUCAGAGCCAGUAAUGGUGAUGGCGUGCCUUUUGGAGAAUGAUCCUGCGAGUUACGUUAAACGGCAAGGUUAAGUAUUACGGAGCCGAAGGGAAACCAAGUCUUAAUAGGGCGAUUUAGUCGUUUGGCGUAGACGCGAAACCUGGUGAUCUAAACCUGUCCAGGAUGAAGCUGUGGUAAGACACAGUGGAGGUCCUAACCCACCGCCGUUGAAAAGUUGGGGGAUGAGGUAGGUUUAGGGGUGAAAAGCCAAUCGAACCAGGAGAUAGCUCGUUCUCUCCGAAAUGCAUCUAGGUGCAGCCUUGAGUGUUCAAUUAUGGGGGUAGAGCACUGAAUGAUCUAGGGGGCAUAUUGCUUACUGAAAUCAAUCAAACUCCGAAUACCAUAAUUUAUAGCUCAGGAGUGAGACUAUGGGAGUUAACUUCCAUUGUCAAAAGGGAAACAACCCAGACCACCAGCUAAGGUCCCUAAUUAUAACUAAGUGGGAAAGGAGGUGGAGAUUCACAAACAACUAGGAGGUUGGCUUAGAAGCAGCCAUACCUUUAAAGAGUGCGUAAUAGCUCACUAGUCGAGAGUCUCUGCGCCGACAAUGUAACGGGGCUAAGUUAUAAACCGAAGCUGUGGAAUCCGUAAGGAUUGGUAGGAGAGCGUUCUGUAGGCCGUUGAAGGAGAAGGGUAACCGACUUUGGAGGUAUCAGAAGUGAGAAUGCAGGAAUAAGUAGCGAGAAAGGGGGCGAGAAUCCCCCUCGCCGGAAGACCAAGGUUUUCAGGGUAAAGCUUGUCUUCCCUGAGUAAGCCGGGACCUAAGCCCAGGCUAUAAUGCGUAGGCGAAUGGAAAACAGAUUAAUAUUUCUGUGCCAGUCAUAUAUUGUGAUGGAGGGACGCAGAAGGGUAUGCGCGCGGACGAACGGAAGUGUCCGUAGAAGUAUGUAGGAUGACUUAGUAGGAAAAUCCAUUAAGUUAUAUCUGAGGUAUGAUAUAUAGUCGUAAGAUGAAUGCGCAAAUCCCACGCUGCCAAGAAAAGCUUCUAACGUUAAUUUAUGACUGCCCGUACUGCAAACCGACACAGGUGGUCAGGAUGAGAAAUCUAAGGCGGACAGGCUAACUCUCGUUAAGGAACUCUGCAAAAUAACCUCGUAACUUCGGGAGAAGAGGAGCCCUUGGGUGUUAGUAUCCACGCGAUACAAAGCGCUCGAGGGUCGCAGUGAAGAGGCUCAAGCAACUGUUUAACAAAAACACAGGUCUAUGCUAAGCUGGAAGGCGAUGUAUAUGGGCUGACACCUGCCCAGUGCUGGAAGGUUAAGAGGAGGAGUGAGAGCUCCGAAUUGAAGCCCCAGUGAACGGCGGCCGUAACUAUAACGGUCCUAAGGUAGCGAAAUUCCUUGUCGGGUAAGUUCCGACCUGCACGAAUGGUGUAAUGAUUUGAGCGCUGUCUUGACGGGAGGCCUGGUGAAAUUGUAUUACCGGUGAAGAUACCGGUUACCUACAGUAGGACGGAAAGACCCCAUGGAGCUUUACUGUAGCUUGGUAUUGGGUUUUGGCAUUGCAUGUAUAGGAUAGUUGGGAGACUGAGAUGAUAUGGCGCUAGCUGUAUCGGAGUCAUCGGUGGAAUACCAACCAUUCAAUGCUGAAAUUCUAAUCUGUGGUUUGUAGCCACGGAGACAGUGCUAGGUGGGCAGUUUGACUGGGCCGGUCGCCUCCGAAAGAGUAACGGAGGCGUUCAAAGGUUCUCUCAGGUUGGAUGGAAAUCAACCAUAGAGUGCAAUGGCAUAAGAGAGCUUGACUGCAAGACUGACGGGUCGAGCAGAUGCGAAAGCAGGACAUAGUGAUCCGGCGAUUCCGAAUGGAAGGGUCGUCGCUCAACGGAUAAAAGCUACCCUGGGGAUAACAGGCUGAUCCUACCCGAGAGGCCAUAUCGACGGUAGGGUUUGGCACCUCGAUGUCGGCUCAUCGCAUCCUGGGGCUGGAGAAGGUCCCAAGGGUUGGGCUGUUCGCCCAUUAAAGCGGUACGUGAGCUGGGUUCAGAACGUCGUGAGACAGUUCGGUCCCUAUCCACUGUAGGCGUUAGAAUAUUGAGAAGACCUGUCCUUAGUACGAGAGGACCGGGAUGGACAAACCUCUGAUGUACCAGUUGUCACGCCAGUGGCACAGCUGGGUAGUCACGUUUGGAAUAGAUAACCGCUGAAAGCAUCUAAGCGGGAAACUAACUUCAAGAUAAGUAUUCUUUAAGAUACCUUCGAGCCUAGGAGGUUGAUAGGUUGGGGGUGUAAGUACAGCAAUGUAUUUAGCUGACCAAUACUAAUUAUCGAAGUUUUAAUCUAAUUUGUUUUUACUAUAUAGUUUC